GAACGCUGGCGGCGUGCUUAACACAUGCAAGUCGAACGGAAAGGCCCUACUUUUGUGGGGUGCUCGAGUGGCGAACGGGUGAGUAACACGUGAGUAACCUGCCCUUGACUUUGGGAUAACUUCAGGAAACUGGGGCUAAUACCGGAUAGGAGCUCCUGCUGCAUGGUGGGGGUUGGAAAGUUUCGGCGGUUGGGGAUGGACUCGCGGCUUAUCAGCUUGUUGGUGGGGUAGUGGCUUACCAAGGCUUUGACGGGUAGCCGGCCUGAGAGGGUGACCGGCCACAUUGGGACUGAGAUACGGCCCAGACUCCUACGGGAGGCAGCAGUGGGGAAUAUUGCACAAUGGGCGGAAGCCUGAUGCAGCAACGCCGCGUGCGGGAUGACGGCCUUCGGGUUGUAAACCGCUUUCGCCUGUGACGAAGCGUGAGUGACGGUAAUGGGUAAAGAAGCACCGGCUAACUACGUGCCAGCAGCCGCGGUGAUACGUAGGGUGCGAGCGUUGUCCGGAUUUAUUGGGCGUAAAGGGCUCGUAGGUGGUUGAUCGCGUCGGAAGUGUAAUCUUGGGGCUUAACCCUGAGCGUGCUUUCGAUACGGGUUGACUUGAGGAAGGUAGGGGAGAAUGGAAUUCCUGGUGGAGCGGUGGAAUGCGCAGAUAUCAGGAGGAACACCAGUGGCGAAGGCGGUUCUCUGGGCCUUUCCUGACGCUGAGGAGCGAAAGCGUGGGGAGCGAACAGGCUUAGAUACCCUGGUAGUCCACGCUGUAAACGGUGGGUACUAGGUGUGGGGUCCAUUCCACGGGUUCCGUGCCGUAGCUAACGCUUUAAGUACCCCGCCUGGGGAGUACGGCCGCAAGGCUAAAACUCAAAGGAAUUGACGGGGCCCCGCACAAGCGGCGGAGCAUGCGGAUUAAUUCGAUGCAACGCGUAGAACCUUACCUGGGUUUGACAUGGAUCGGGAGCGCUCAGAGAUGGGUGUGCCUCUUUUGGGGUCGGUUCACAGGUGGUGCAUGGCUGUCGUCAGCUCGUGUCGUGAGAUGUUGGGUUAAGUCCCGCAACGAGCGCAACCCUUGUUCACUGUUGCCAGCACGUUAUGGUGGGGACUCAGUGGAGACCGCCGGGGUCAACUCGGAGGAAGGUGGGGAUGACGUCAAGUCAUCAUGCCCCUUAUGUCCAGGGCUUCACGCAUGCUACAAUGGCUGGUACAGAGAGUGGCGAGCCUGUGAGGGUGAGCGAAUCUCGGAAAGCCGGUCUCAGUUCGGAUUGGGGUCUGCAACUCGACCUCAUGAAGUCGGAGCCGCUAGUAAUCGCAGAUCAGCAACGCUGCGGUGAAUACGUUCCCGGGGCUUGUACACACCGCCCGUCAAGUCAUGAAAGUUGGUAACACCCGAAGCCGGUGGCCUAACCGUUGUGGGGGAGCCGUCGAAGGUGGGACUGGUGAUU
rnacentral:rRNA from 1 species